UUUAGGGUAGUUUAUGAAAAACGUGAGUUUGUGGUACUUGAGAAGCAGGUAACUGUAUCUAAAU
rnacentral:tRNA from 1 species